UAAAACUGCAUGAUACUGUUACA
rnacentral:misc_RNA from 1 species